ACGGGAGGCAGCAGUCGGGAAUAUUGCACAAUGGGGGAAACCCUGAUGCAGUGACGCCGCGUAUAGGAAGAAGGUUUUCGGAUUGUAAACUAUUGUCUAUAGGGAAGAAAAAUGACGGUACCUAUGGAGGAAGGUCCGGCUAACUACGUGCCAGCAGCCGCGGUAAUACGUAGGGACCGAGCGUUGUCCGGAUUUAUUGGGUGUAAAGGGUGCGUAGACGGAAAUUUAAGUUGGUUGUGAAAUCCCCAGGCUCAACUUGGGAACUGCAACCAAAACUGAAUGUCUUGAGUGUAGGAGAGGAAAGUGGAAUUCCUAGUGUAGCGGUGAAAUGCGUAGAGAUUAGGAGGAACACCAGUGGCGAAGGCGACUUUCUGGACUAUAACUGACGUUGAGGCACGAAAGUGUGGGGAGCAAACAGGAUUAGAUACCCUGGUA
rnacentral:rRNA from 1 species